CAAAUAUGAAAAUCUACUCUAGUCUUCGCAAUGGUCUAGGUCACUGCAGAAGCCUGCUCGUUCAGACAGCCCUACGUAUGGGCCACUGACUACUUCUAUUGGGAAAGGUUCUACAGCUACCACAAAACUGUAAGCUUUGGGGCUCUACCUUUCUCCCAGGUGGCCAUCAGGCCUGUGCUUUGGAAGAAGGGUAGAAGAGAUUCAGCCCCAUUGCUCUGAGAAGAGAGGAUUUUCCCACUGUAUCCCAGAGACAAGAACAGGACAUAGAAGAUACUUAGUCUUGCUCCUGUAGAAUAAAUUCUGCUGACUGAAAAAAUAGAUUUUAACCCAAACCUCUUCCAGCCAGACCAGCAAGGGACACUGAGACUGGCCACAAAAUUCAGUCUGGCUUGCCUAGAGGUUUAUUACUGGGACAAUGGUCCAGCUGGACUGAAGAGGUGGGCAGGCUGUGCAGGAGCUAACCAGUAUGUGGAGUCAAUGGGAGUGCUCUGCAUGCCAUGCAGUGCUAUGUCCAAAUGUGUGGUCAGCUCAUGCUGUGAUGGGUGUUAAGCUGUUUCUAUGCAUAAGCCUGGUCUCUUCUUAGUCAUAACUGUAGAUUUAAAACUGAGAAUGAAUUACCAGGCUGUGCUGUAGCCAGAGGACAAUUACUAGCUGUGGAAUUCAAAGCCUG